rnacentral:rRNA from 1 species
UUAUAAGAGACAGCAGUCGCCGCGGGAAUACGAAGGGUGCAAGCGUUACUCGGAAUUACUGGGCGUAAAGCGUGCGUAGGUGGUGGUUUAAGUCCGUUGUGAAAGCCCUGGGCUCAACCUGGGAAUUGCAGUGGAUACUGGGUCACUAGAGUGUGGUAGAGGAUAGUGGAAUUUCCGGUGUAGCAGUGAAAUGCGUAGAGAUCGGAAGGAACAUCUGUGGCGAAGGCGACUAUCUGGGCCAACACUGACACUGAGGCACGAAAGCGUGGGGAGCAAACAGGAUUAGAUACCCCCGUAGUCCCUGUCUCUUAUAC